GGGUGUGGCUCUCCAGGAUUCCCAAAAUGCAUCUGCUUUUCAUGCAGAAGGUCCCUGGUUCAAUCCCUGGCACCACCA